AUGAAGGCCGGGCGCCCAGCUCUGCCCUCGUCACCCCACCUCCAGGGAGGAAAUGUGGUUCCAGGCCCUCGCCGGCCUCCGUCUCCCCACCUGGACGGCAUCUCUGAUCGGGCUGUUUGCACCUGCAAAAGGCCUCCCCGGAGACCAGCCCCUGGUCUGGCAGGGCCCCCGGCCUCCUUCCCACUGAAGUCGGCGUGGAGGUCGCUGGCCUCCAACGAUGAGCCCGCCCGAGCUUGGGGGGUCUGGGGAGGACCCGGCGCUUGGACCCCGUCUUCCAACAGAAGCCAGGGGACCGAGGAACCCGAAGCUCCUGCCCAACGGCUCAGUCGGCACGUCCCCGCCCUUCGAGAUCCAGCGUUUCCUUUUGUCGCCUCAUCAUGUGACGAAUGUCAUUCAAAACGCCGGUCAGUCCUCAGCGUUUAUCGCAAAAGCCACGCCCGCCUGGAUUCCCACCCCCGCCCCGGAAGCGAAGGUUGGCCACGUUCAGCUUUUCGCCUGUCUUGGCCUUGCUUUGGUUUUGCGGGUUUGGCACUUGGCUCCCCGUUUCCAAAGGACCUGCCGUUGUGCUGUGCCCCUCAUCUCGUCAUCCUUCCCUCCAGGUGGCAGAGACGCAUCGAGCGCGCCCAGCGCCCCGUCCCCCAUAGAGGGAAGCCCCACUUUCCAUUCAACCUGACCCAACGUUCAUCCAUUAGUUAACGUAUGGACUAAAAGUUCUGAAUGAGGCUCACAGGUACAUCAGCUCCCCGCUGUGUCUCCGUCCUACUCUCUCCUCGCCCCCAGGGCAGCCCCCAGGGUACGUUCUCCAGUCUCCUGUGUCUCCACCACGAGUUCCUCCCCUGAGCAUUUCUGCAAAGCUGGGAGAACCCAUCCUCCUGUGUUUCAUGGGGGGGGGGGGACGGCUGGUCCAGCCCAGUUUUCUCUCUGGAUACAUCCAUCUGGACGGCGUUGUCUUGCGCCCGCUCGCGGGGCUCUGUCUUCCCCUUUGAUGACCCCGAUCCUGGUCCCACAUCUUCCGGCUUGUGGUUUUGAAACUGACAGCACUUAGGACUCAAACCCAGCCUAAACCCCGUUCGGGAGUUGAACCCACGGUUGUUAACGUAGAAUCCCUCACCUNCCCACAUCUUCCGGCUUGUGGUUUUGAAACUGACAGCACUAAGGACUCAAACCCAGCCUAAACCCUGUUCGGGAGUUGAACCCACGGUUGUUAACAUAGAAUCCCUCACCCGGUGUCCGGACUUACGGAGGGUCAGCUUCUUUGUGUCCCAGCACAGAAGGAAAUCAAGUGAUAAGCAAGAAAUAGAUUUAUGAAGACAGGACGCUCGUGAGAGACGCCAGCGGGCAGGCAGGGGGCCUCUGCCCCGAGGGUCGGGUGGGCUCUGUUUCUAAUCCACCCGGAGUGGGGCUGGGGAAGGACCCCCGCUUCCUCCUUCGUCAAAGUGCUUUUUCCCUUCCGCAGAGGGCGGUCCUUCAACGCCUGCCCUUGGUGCUAAGGAUCUUCUUGGGGCUGAACUUGAACGCAGGCCUCAUUUUAAUGACCUGAGGCAUAGCUGGUGCUUUUAUUUGUGGUUUUGUUAAGCAAGCCGGCUUCUUUCUGAUGACUUUCUGGAGCGACCAUUAACCUCCGUGGUCUCCCGAAGCCCCCUAGGUUUCCCUGUCUCUCUGUGGUCCCCUCCUGGGACUUGCACAACUGCCCGUG
rnacentral:lncRNA from 1 species